rnacentral:lncRNA from 1 species
AAUAUAUAUAUCAAUCGAUCAACAUAGGAACAUGUAACACAAUACAUAAACAUGUUCAACAGAUAUCACAGUUAAUCAGCAUAAGAACAUGUAAUGCAGCAACAACAUUUGCUUGUUAUUAAGCAAUGUGUUGUCAUCAUAAAAAACCAGAUUGAUAUAGAAAUUGUGUUGUCAACAAUCUCAACACUCCUACCCCUACAGUACACCCUCCUCCUACCCCUACAAUACACCCUUCUCCUACCCCUACAGUACACCCUUCUGCUACCCCUACAGCAGACAAUUUUUCUCCUCUUGUGAUUAUAACCCCCACACCUCCCCCUGUGCUUAUUACCCCCACUCCUCUCCCUGACCCUACUUGUAUACCUUCCUCAUCUCAUAUACCGCCUUCUAAGACUGUCACACCAUCUACUGAUCAAGAUUCAACUGGUGAUGGUGUGAAGAUGUUAACCCAUCCCUCC